rnacentral:hammerhead_ribozyme from 1 species
AUCCAACUGACGAGUCCCAAACAGGGCGAGAAGCGUGUCCUGGAU